rnacentral:rRNA from 1 species
GACGAACGCUGGCGGCGUGCUUAACACAUGCAAGUCGAACGGAAAGGCCCUGCUUUUGUGGGGUGCUCGAGUGGCGAACGGGUGAGUAACACGUGAGUAACCUGCCCUUGACUUUGGGAUAACUUCAGGAAACUGGGGCUAAUACCGGAUAGGAGCUCCUGCUGCAUGGUGGGGGUUGGAAAGUUUCGGCGGUUGGGGAUGGACUCGCGGCUUAUCAGCUUGUUGGUGGGGUAGUGGCUUACCAAGGCGUUGACGGGUAGCCGGCCUGAGAGGGUGACCGGCCACGAUGGGAGUGAGACGCGACCCAGGCUCCUACGGGAGGCAGCGGGGGGGAAGUGUGGAAAAGGGGGGGAACCCUGCUCCAGCCAUGCCGCGGGGGGGAAGAAGGCCUGCGGGUUGUAAACCGGUUUUGUUGGGGAAGAAAUCCUCUGGGCUAAUACACCGGGGGGAUGAGGGUACCGGAAGAAUAAGCACCGGCUAACUACGU